rnacentral:rRNA from 1 species
UACAGAGGGGGCCAGCGUUAUUCGGAAUUAUUGGGCGUAAAGGGCGCGUAGGCGGCCAUGCGUGUCUUCCGUGAAAUCCCUCGGCUUAACCGAGGACGUGCGGAAGAAACUGCAAGGCUCGAGUCCGGAAGAGGGGGGCGGAAUUCCCAGUGUAGCGGUGAAAUGCGUAGAUAUUGGGAGGAACACCAGUGGCGAAGGCGGUCCCCUGGGCCGGAGCUGACGCUGAGGCGCGAAAGCGUGGGUAGCAAACAGG